GAUGAACGCUGGCGGCGUGCCUAAUACAUGCAAGUCGAGCGAACGGACGAGAAGCUUGCUUCUCUGAUGUUAGCGGCGGACGGGUGAGUAACACGUGGAUAACCUACCUAUAGGACUGGGAUAACUUCGGGAAACCGGAGCUAAUACCGGAUGAUAUUUUGAACCGCAUGGUUCAAAAGUGAAAGACGGUCUUGCUGUCACUUAUAGAUGGAUCCGCGCUGCAUUAGCUAGUUGGUAAGGUAACGGCUUACCAAGGCAACGAUGCAUAGCCGACCUGAGAGGGUGAUCGGCCACACUGGACUGAGGCCACGGUCCGAACUCCUAGGGAGGCAGCAGUAGGGAAUCUUCCGCAAUGGGCGAAAGCCUGACGGAGCAACGCCGCGUGAGUGAUGAAGGUCUUCGGAUCGUAAAACUCUGUUAUUAGGGAAGAACAUAUGUGUAAGUAACUGUGCACAUCUUGACGGUACCUAAUCAGAAAGCCACGGCUAACUACGUG
rnacentral:rRNA from 1 species